rnacentral:rRNA from 1 species
CCUACGGGAGGCAGCAGUGAGGAAUAUUGGUCAAUGGGCGGAAGCCUGAACCAGCCAAGUCGCGUGCGGGAUGAAGGCCCUACGCGUCGUAAACCGCUUUUGCACGGGGAUAACACCAUCCACUUGUGGCGGUCUGCGGGUACCGUGCGAAUAAGCGCCGGCUAAUUCCGUGCCAGCAGCCGCGGUAAUACGGAGGACCCGAGCGUUAUCCGGAUUCAUUGGGCUUAAAGGGUGCGUAGGCGGGCGUUCAAGUCAGCUGUAAAAUCGCGCGGCUCAACCGCGCCCCGCAGUUGAAACUGGAUGCCUUGAGUUCACAACAGGCAGGCGGAAUUCGCGGUGUAGCGGUGAAAUGCAUAGAUAUCACGAGGAACCCCGAUUGCGAAGGCAGCCUGCCGGGGUGCGACUGACGCUGAGGCUCGAAGGUGCGGGUAUCAAACAGGAUUAGAUACCCUAGUAGUC